UACGUAGGGGGCAAGCGUUGUCCGGAAUUAUUGGGCGUAAAGAGCGCGUAGGCGGCUACUUAAGUCGGAUGUGAAAGCCCUUGGCUCAACUGAGGAAGUGCACCCGAAACUGAGUGGCUAGAGUACGAAAGAGGGUCGCGGAAUUCCCGGUGUAGAGGUGAAAUUCGUAGAUAUCGGGAGGAACACCGGUGGCGAAGGCGGCGACCUGGGUCGAUACUGACGCUGAUGCGCGAAAGCGUGGGGAGCAAACAGG
rnacentral:rRNA from 1 species